rnacentral:tRNA from 1 species
AUUACUUUGGCAGAUAAGUGCAUUAGAUUUAGAAUCUAAGAAUGAGGAAAUAUGAAUACUCAGGUAAUA